AGAGCCACUUUGCAUCAGCAGCACCAUGCUCCAGUGCUCUGGGAGAGUUUAUAGUCCUGAGAGUUGAAGACUGGAUGACUGACAGCUGUCCUUCAUGACAACAGAAGACACAGAAAUCCUCCUCAUCAGAAACAUGACUUUGGUCUCCGUCCUCAUCUGGACUCUCCUCUGCUGCUGCUUCACAGAGUCCAGAGGACAGGUCACAGUGACUCAGUCUGGAGCAGUGAGCUCUGCUCUGGGAGCCUCCGUCACCAUCAGCUGUAGGACCAGUCCACAAGUUGAAGUUGGAUCAUCUAGUGGUAAAGACCUUUUACAUUGGUACCAACAGACAGAUGGAGGAGUCCCUAAACUACUUAUAUACAGAGUCAACGAGCGAGCGUCAGGAAUUCCAGGUCGUUUCACUGGCAGUGGAUCAAAGACUGACUUCACUCUGACCAUCAGUGGAGUCCAGACUGAAGAUUCAGGAGUUCACUACUGUCAGAGUGCACAUGUUAUCAACAGUCAGUAUGUGUUCACACAGUGA